AUUGAACGCUGGCGGCAGGCUUAACACAUGCAAGUCGAGCGAUGGAAGGUAGCUUGCUACCGGACCUAGCGGCGGACGGGUGAGUAAUGCUUAGGAAUCUGCCUAUUAGUGGGGGACAACAUCUCGAAAGGGAUGCUAAUACCGCAUACGUCCUACGGGAGAAAGCAGGGGAUCUUAGGACCUUGCGCUAAUAGAUGAGCCUAAGUCGGAUUAGCUAGUUGGUGGGGUAAAGGCCUACCAAGGCGACAAUCUGUAGCGGGUCGGAGAGGAUGAGCCGCCACACUGGGACUGCGACACGGCCCAGACUCCUACGGGAGGAAGCAGUGGGGAAUAUUGGACAAUGGGGGGAAACCUGAUCCAGCCAUGCCGCGUUUGUGAAGAAGGCCUUAUGGUUGUAAAGCACUUUAAGCGAGGAGGAGGCUACUCUAGUUAAUACCUAGGGAUAGUGGACGUUACUCGCAGAAUAAGCACCGGCUAACUCUGUGCCAGCCGCCGCCGUAA
rnacentral:rRNA from 1 species